rnacentral:lncRNA from 1 species
AUGCUGUCCCCACUUGGGGCCUUUGCACAUGCUGCCUUCUCCCUGACAGUCCUUCCCCUCUUCCUUCUCCUUCCUGCCUGCUCACAGCCUUGCAACCUCAGGGUCCAGCCCUCGCCCAGCCUGAGGGCUGCUCCGUCAGACGUCACAUUUAGCCUGUGCAGCCUUGGUGUCCCGUUCUCAGUGCAGAGGUGGGAAGUCCUGUCUGGGGCGGAUCUCAGACCCACCGGACAGGUUUGCUGUUCCCUGCAGUUGUCCUGGCUCAGAGGCAGCCCUGGUCGGCCUAGGCAAGAUCCUACGCUGGCUCAGGCAGGGCCGGGAGGCAGCCAGCACUGCCGGGGGACUUGCGAGGGCAAGUGGCAGUGGCAGGUGGGCCUUGGGUGUAGGGAGGUGGCUGGACAGGGCAGGGUCAGCUGGGGAGGCGGGCGAGGCCAGCAGGAGACAGGAAGUGAUGCAGGAGGAGAUAGGCACACGGCUGGUGCGACGUGGGCCGGCUGGUUGCUCCUGCCUCAGUUUCCCCUUCUACACCACAGGGAGGGCUGGAGAGGGAGGGCAAAGGGGGGCGCGGUAGGAGGGAGGGGAAAGGAGGGGGGGGAUGAGAGGCAGCAGGCGGGGCAGGAGCAGAGCCACAAGGGCUGGGGGGCAGCCAGGGGAAGUGGGUGCAGAAAGGAGAAGUGUGGUGAGGGACCCAGCGCCAGGAGGCGGGCAGGGAGGUGCUCCCACUGCUGGGGAACGCUGGGGCUUUCCAGAAUGUGGAGAAACAGGAAGCGCCCCGGCCCCGCCCCCACCCCCUGGGCAGGGCCAGGCCGACCCACCUGCCCCACCUCACCUGCCCAGGCCCGGGGUGGGGGUCUCCGCUCCCUGGGUGAGCCCUCCGCCUGCCUCAGUCUCCCAGUCUGCACGCUGGAGUCCUCCCCAGGAGGGAAACUGAGGGGUAGCCCAAGAAGCUCCCCAUGGACCCACAGGGAACCCCCCCCCCCGGGGGACCUGACAUCGGGGUCUGACUUUUCUGCUGUUUGA